CUUGGUUUUCUUCCUUUUCUCCAAAGGAAACCAUAAGGGAAAUAUAUUGCUAGUUUCUGUGGUGCCCUGUGAACUAAGGGAAAAUAUGCUAGUGAGUAGCUAGCAGGGACAGUACCUCAAGGGGGAGUGUAUGGCACUGUGACCAGGCCCAGGCCCAGGCCCUGACCCAGGCCCAAGCCCAAGCCCAGGCUCUGCAGAAAAGCAGUUGCUUAAGGAUUUUUGAGGAAACAUUGUGAUGGCAGUUAGAAGUUUGCACUCUCUCUUACUCAUCCACGAAAAUGGGAGCAUAAAAGGAUGAUUUUUGAAGAAUUAUGUUUCUGCUAGGGUGUAUGGUGCGAUCUCAGAACACUUCAAUUUGCUAGUAAUGCAGACAACCCCCGCAACUGGAGAAGAGAAGAAAAGGAAUCAAAUCAGAGCACAUAGAGCUGUCAGGAGGGGCCACGGUUUCAAAAGGUCUUAA
rnacentral:lncRNA from 1 species